rnacentral:rRNA from 1 species
CAGUCGCCGCGGUAAUACGUAGGUGGCAAGCGUUGUCCGGAAUUAUUGGGCGUAAAGGGCUCGCAGGCGGUUUCUUAAGUCUGAUGUGAAAGCCCCCGGCUCAACCGGGGAGGGUCAUUGGAAACUGGGAAACUUGAGUGCAGAAGAGGAGAGUGGAAUCCCACGUGUAGCGGUGAAAUGCGUAGAGAUGUGGAGGAACACCAGUGGCGAAGGCGACUCUCUGGACCAUAACUGACGCUGAGGCACGAAAGCUAGGGGAGCAAACAGGAUUAGAUACCCGCGUAGUCCCUGUCUCUUAUAC